AUAUCAUCCCACCAACCGCUCACAUGCUUUCGGUCCCUUAUCAGAUACUCCUUCCCUAUCUUUCCCACCAAGUACUGGGUGAACGGAAGGUGGCUCAGGUCGGCAAGGCUAAAGAAAUUCCCUGCCAGGUACUUGCUCUUUGACAGCCUCUCCUCGUAGAUAUCCAGAACCUGACAGAGCUUGUCCUCGCUCUCUUUGAGCUGCUUCGGAUCCGGGGUAAGCCCUCUAAGCGGGCCGAUAACAACUUUGAGGACGAGGUCGAAGAUUGGCGGGUGGAAGUUCUGGGCCUCAACUUCGAGCCACUGCUCAACGAGCCCCCUCUCCUCGACUGUCUUCCCCAGCAGUUCAGUCCCUUGGUCCUUGUAUUUCUCGGCAUAAUACCUUAUGAUGGCCCGCGAUUCUGUAUGAAUUAGACUGGAUAUAUCACGGAGAGUAGACAGACAAAUCUUUAUCCCCACAUAUGAAAAGCAACAAAUAACCAGAAUGAAACCUACAAGAGACAUGCACUGUGCUUUUGAAUUUACCAGCAGAGUCUUACUCUCAUGACACUAGACCCACGGUAUAAGUGUAGAUGCAGCAGGACAUUUCAAUGUCUAUGCACUGAUCAUUCUGCUUAAACUCCAUCAAGAAUAUAACCGGAUGAAAAUGCAGGUCCAAACGGAAAAUCAGCGGCCUUUGGUCGACAUAUGAAAAGAGACAGAUCAUGAACAACUCCAGAACAGAUAUGGAGACUAAGAGCCUGGCCUUAAGAGCUUUGGAUUCAAAUCAUCUGUUCCUCAGGCAAAUGAUUAGACUUGAGAUUGAGAGUGGAUGUAUGUAACCUAAAAAGAGUGGCUGUUAUCGAGUGAACAUGCCAGUGGACUCAAUCUUUUCAACUUCCUCUGAUAUCCACUCAUUGCGGAACUCUUUAGACUAUUGCGACGCUUCACUGGCCGAUUACAACACAAAAAGCCUCUGUAAGUUAGGAACAUCGCAUGCUAAAGAACCAUCCGUAUGUCCCCGUGCUCUGAUCUCAAGACCGCAAGAAAACAGCAAUAGAAAGAAAAGAACGAUGCAAGAAGCCAAGAGUCGAGAGCAUUACCGAACAGAGUGUAGUCGCCAUCUUGAACCACAGGAAGCGAUCCGAAGGGCUACACAGGCGGGCGCGCGCGCACGAGAUCCGAAUCAGCGUCAAUCAGACAAGACACACUUUAAAUGCCAAGUACCCACGAAAGGAGACACGAUGAAAAGUCAAGCUGUCGAGAGUUUGACCGAAAGUGAAGUUGGACUUUCAAGAACGAACGGGACAGACCUGGAGCUCGAGGUACUCGGGGGCUUUGUGCUCGCCUUUGAAGAGGUCGACGCCGACGGUCUCGAACUCGACGCCCUUCUCGAUCAGGCACACAAGCACCCGCUUCGGCGACGCGUAGUCAGGGCCGUACACCUUCACCACCAUCUUCACUCCCGCUCCCUCACUCUCUCUCUCUCUCUGCUUCUUUCUUCCUUCUGGACGGACCUAGCCAGCGACUCUCUCCGCUGUGUCUCCCGGCUUUUAUAAAGAAGUCUCUUUGUUAGAGCAGCAGACAGAAGCUGCACACGUCAAUGAUGCUGCACACGUCAAUGAUGCACCAACCCACCACCAAUCCAAGCUUAGUUAAUUGGUCCCAUCACUAAAGAGUUUCGCAUUUUGCAUUUGCUUCCAUGAGUUUGAAUCCCUCUGCAAGUUAAGACUUAUCUGGAAAUACUGCGACUCUUUGGCUGUGCAUGCUAUCUGGGUAAAGUUGGGAUGGCAAGUAGGGCCUCCUUUGGUUAUAGAUAGAACUUUUUAUAUUUAUGAUAUAAAAAUCAUUUUUGUCUAAUAAUAAAUUUCUUCGAAUUUAAAUAAUUAAAUAUAAACAAUAUAUGAGUUCUAAUAUUAAAAGGGAAAUUCAAAAUAACAACGACUUUCAUUUUAUUUUUAUUUUUAUAUUUGAAUUUAUUUCUAUAUAUACAUACUUAGCAUUUAUAUCUAUAGCAUAUUUUAGGUAUUUUGGUAUAGUUAAUUUAUUAAGAAAUGAUGGAAAGGAAUAAAAAAAAAGAAAAAAAAAAAGAGAGUGAAAAUAAUAUAAAAAUAAGUAAAUAAAAUUGAAGUAGGCGAGAGAGUCUAAACACUAAUUCAGAUUCGCAAAGCUAAAUGAUAAUGUUUUCUUUCUCUUAACAGAUUUGACAUGCAUCCACUAAUUUGCCUAUUGAUGUUGUCGUAGCUCAUUUACAUUUGUCUUCAUAGUCGAACCCAUGACUCUAAAAUGCUGCAAUGACCUCAUUUGCUGUUUAAGAUUUGGAUUGUCCAAUAAUUAUGGAUUUAUUUAUGGAUGUUAUCUCCAUUUUGUCCUUUAAUGGUUUCUUUAGCAAUUAACUGUAAGUUAUUCUUAACAUCUCCCUUUGUACAUUUUCAUGUACAUUUACAUUGAUAUACUAUUCAUACCAAACAUUAGACAUGAUAGGAUAUGAAAAUAUUCGAUUUUAUUACUGUAAUUUACCACAUAAUAGACAAGAUUUUGGUAAUUUCAUAUCCUACCAUAUCAUAUUAUAUUCAGUCAUAUUUUAACUAGAAAUCCAAAUGAACAAAGGUAGCCUAAAAUUGUUAAAAUCCGUCAUGCUCCAUGGGACAUUUGUAAUCUUGAAAGAUCUGUCUUUUGUUGAUUUCUUUUGCACUAAAUUGGUGUCGCACCUAUGCUCUAUACCUUUGAUUAGUUUCGGCCGAAAAGUUUUCAAUAAUCGUCACUAGAAAAUAGUAAAAAGCACUAUGCUCAUUUUUUCACAUGGCCCACGUGCUUCUAGAAAAGGCAAUUACCAAUUUGCUCGAAUUGGGUAGUAGGUGACGGUUCAAAUUGGCCUAUGUCCGCAAGCCAUAGAUUCUAAUAAUCGGUCUUAUUUUUAAUCUAAAUUAUUCGAGGGAGUAGGAAGAUUUGGCCAAUCGAAAAUGCACACUUGAGCUGUCCUUGCGUCAUUUACAAAAUGGUUUUCUUUGUCGACUUCCUUUGCACCUGCAAUUGAGUAAACUAUUGAUCACCUAACCUCCACAAGGAAGAAAGGGGUAGUCAACUAUUAUAUAUUCAACGCCAUUACUCACCCAAAUCAAUCAUCAUGCGUGGGAAUAUAAGAAACCUCAUAACAUUUUUCAUGCGACAACAGAAUUAGAAGAGCAAAAAGCAUCAUUGCUCAAACGAAAUACUGCUAUGGGAAAGACUAUCGGUUCGAGUGUUAGAAGGGAGGUGUUUUUAGGAAGGAUCAUUUAUGUGAGGAAACUUAUAUUGGUGACAAGGGAGAUAUAAAGAGGUGGAAGGAUGCACUAAGUAAAGUAGCUGGUCUCGCCGGAAGAGAAUUGAAAGAUGGGUAGGCCACUCUUCCACUAACUUGGAAUUAUUUGUUUUCUUUAAGUUUAGUGUGCCAUGAAUGUCAUGACUAUCAUACUCUGUAUUAUGUUAGUUCAUCUGAACCAGAAUAUAUGAUUAACUCCUCCAAAACUACACUGCCUCAAUGCUACCUAGGGAACCAAUCAUCUGGAUUUCUUCAUUGUAGAUAUGAGACACAGUUCAUUCAGCAAAUCAUUGGAGAAAUCAAAGAUAAACUUGGUCCCCAGUUGUCCUAUGUUGUAGGUGUUAGGGAAAUCCCUUAUGAUGUUUUAAAGAUGACAAAAUAAAUCAACAGCUACUAACAUGUUUAAUGGUUAAGUAACAGAUUAUGUAGAUGAUAGAACAUAUAAAAGAUAUUGUCAAAGUCUAUACAUGAAAGAACUAGAAGACAGACUUUAUGUUGAAACUGAACUUAUUCAGAUUGUAUCCAGAUCUUAAGUCUAAAUCUGUUCAGAAGUAGAAUAUGUUCAGACUUACGUCCUGAUUGUAAAGUCUAUCUCAGACAGAAUAUUCUCAGACUUUACAUCCAAAACGAGAAACAAGUUCAGAACAUAGCAGAUUCAGAACGAAGCAUGUUCAGAAUGAGACAACUUGACAGAACGUAACACAAGCCCCAAACAUAUAAUGACUAGUGUUCUGGUUUGGAUUUUACAUCAAGAUAGAUUUGAUUAACUUAAUCUAAUUGAUUGACAAUUGAAUAUUGAAGACAAGAACUUUAUAUACGAAGAAGCUCUACUUAUGAAAACCAAGAUUCUGCUGGUAUGGGCAAUCAGAAUUAAUUUAGGAUUAUACUUCUAUCAUUCAACGGCUAUUAAAUCUUUUAGAUACAGAUUUGUCCAAUGGGUAGAUUAGAAGACGAUCCUCUAGAUAUUGUCCAAUGGCUAGUUUGGAAGUGGAUGAGUAUUUAAAGAGAUCAAGAACCGAUGAGCAAGUAAGAAAUGGAGUGUAGAAUUUAUAAUUCCAAAGUCUGAACGACCUUCAAUCAUACACUUGUCUUUAGUGAGCUUAAACGUUUGUGAUUGUGAAAGAAAUACCAAAACAAUGACUUUGUGAGAUAGUGUGAUUUACCACCGAAUGUUUACACUUAAAGUUAUAAUCUCUUGUUGAUCACAUAGUGGAAUCCAGCCAGAAGGCUGUCAGCGUGGGAGAGUGGACAUAGCCUUGAUUUAAGCCGAACCACUAUAAAUUUUGUGUUUUUAUUAUCUUCCCUGAACUCCUUUAUUUUGUUCGUAGUUCUAUUUAACUACUAAAGUUUGAACUCGCUCAAAAUCUGUUGUUCUUCAAACUCAGUUUCAAAAGCAAAAUAUUUUUAUUACUUUUUGCGAAAAAAUUUCUUCACACCUAUUCACUCCCCUCUAGAUGUUCAUACCAGUACUUUCAGUAGGCAAUCUUGUGAGAAUGCAUUCCUGAGUUGCAAAUGUAGUUGAAUAUAUAUGCUUGGACGAGAGUGAUGUACACAAUAUUGGCAUAUGGAGAAUGGGUGGCAUAGGCAAAACAACUGUUGCACGAACAAUUUUUGACAAAAUCUGUGGCUGAUUUGAUGAUGGAUGUUGCUUUCUUGCCAAUGUCAAAGAAAUUUCAAAAAAGAAUGGUCUGGUAUAUCUGUAAAACCAGUUCCUCAGUGAUAUUCUCCAAGAGGACAAUUUGACAAUCAAGGAUGAUCACAGAGGAGCGAACAUAAUAAGAGAACAACUGCGACAUAAAAAAGUUCUUGUUAUGCUUGAUGACGUGGACAAAAAUGAGCAGCUAGAAAAACUAGCAAGAGGUCUUGAAUGGUUUGGACAUGGGAGUAUGAUCAUUAUAACAACCAAAGAUGAACAUUUGCUUCUCCAAUAUGAUGUAAAUUCCAUAUAUAGGGUGGAGGGACUAUCAUUUUAUGAGGCUCACCAACUAUUUUGUUCAAAAGCUUUUAGAAGUGACCAUCCUCCAGUAGAGUUCGAGGAGCUCACAAACCAAGUUAUUGAAUAUGCUGGUGGUCUUCCUCUAGUCCUUGAUGUCGUAGGUUCCUUUUUGGCUUAUAGGAGCUUGAAGCAAUGGAAGAGUGCACUAGCCAAACUCAAGGAAUGUCCAAAAGGGAAAUUUUUUUAUCGGCUUAAGUUAAGUUAUGAUGGACUAUAGCAGAAAGAGAAGGAGAAUUUCCUAGAUAUUGCAUGUUUUUUCAAGGGAAAGGAGAAACCUUACGUUACAGAAGCUCUGGACAAUUGCGGUUUGUAUAUAGAUAUUGGAAUCGAAGCCCUUGUCAAUAAAGCUCUUAUCCAAAUUGUGGGCAACAAACUGUGGAUGCAUGAUUUACUAUAAGAGAUGGCUUGGGAAAUUGUUCGUUGAGUCUCUUGAAGAGCUAGGAGAACGAAGUCGAGUUUGGCUUUUUGAGGAUGUAUGCCAUAUUCUGUCAAAAAACUCGGUGAGUAUCUAUAAAAUUAAUUUGCAAGCAUGCCAAUUUGAUAGAGUUUAAAAAGAACUUGCUAGUCAUGUAUUGACACUAUAUGAGUUGUUUAUCAGUAAACUAGAAAAGUCAAAGCCAUAGUCUUGCAAUUUGAGGACCAUAGAACAAUGCGCUUGAGUGGAGGGUCCUUCAUUAACAUGACUAAAUUAAGAUUGCUUGAUAUUCGGGCCAUCCACCUCUCUUCUGGGUUCAAGCACCUUUCAAAUGAACUAUGCCUGCUAAGAUGGGACAAUUGCAGUCUUAAAUCAUUUCCACCAAGUUUUCUUCCAAAGAAUCUUGUCGAACUCCAUGUGCAGGAUAGCCUCCUUUGCAGCAUUUGGAGAGGGGAAAAGGUUGGAAUUAGUACUAAUGCAUGUUAACCUCAAUGGUUCCAAAUUAUUCGUGGAGACUCCAAACUUCAUACAUGUCCCAAAUCUAGAGAGGCUAAUUCUCAAAGGUUGCAAAGUAUUAUCUAAAGUUCAUCCUUCAAUUGGAAAUCUAGAAAGACUCAGUCUACUUGACUUAGGUGAUUGUGAAAACCUCAUGGGACUUCCAAAUAGUCUAGGUAAUCUAAAAUCUCUCAGAGUUCUUAAUCUAUGUGGAUGUUCAAAUCUUGAAGAAUUGCUUGAUAGCAUCGGGGGCUAAGAGUGCUUAGAGGAGCUUGAUAUUAGUGAAGUGCCAUGACACGCCUCCCAUCCAGCUUGGUGUUCUUACAAAAUCUGAAAAAAAAAAAAAUUACGCUUUCAUGUUAGUAAAAGGAGGCCACAAAAUUGUUAGAGGACACUGACCAAACGCUGAGAAGAGCUCUGAACUCUUGAAGUCUGAGGUUGCCUUCAUUUUCAGGGCUAUCCUCUUUGAUAGAGUUGGAUCUAAGUGGCUGUAGAGUUUUGGAAGGAGAAACUCCCAGUGAUAUUAACUGCUUACCCUCCUUGAGGUCUUUAGACCUAACCGAAAACAGUUUUAUCACCAUACCUACAAGCAUCGGACAUGUCUUUGGCCUGGAAUCGCUUUGCAGCAUUUUCUUCGACCCAUGUUUGACAUAUUAAAUACUCUUGCAGCGUGCAUAAUGUUGGAUAUAGUUGGAUAGUAGAAUCGUUGAAUUUCAUUAUGCUCGCAUAAUUUACAUAUUUUUAAUUAUAAUUCUUUUGUGGGCCAUUUGAAAUUUAAAAGGUCUAUCUUUCGUCAAUUUUUUCUUCACUGGAUGAAUGUCGAACCUAUGCUCAACAGUCAAUUUACGUUACUUGUUUUGGUUGAAAAAUUUCCAACAAUCUUGGUAGAAACGGCAAAAGCAUUUUGCUUGUCCAUGUUGAUAUUGCCCGAUUGCCUGUCUGCUUCUAGAAAAGCAAUUACAAAUUUGCUCGAAUUGGGUAUUGGGGAUACUAAUCGGUCUUUUUCUGCAAUUUCUUUAAAUUUAGGAAGAAUGUUCAAGUGUUGAUAUUCAUGAGACAAUAUGAACUUUUCUCGUAUGCUUCAGCUAAUCUUUUUGGGGAUGAACUCAUUGUGUUAUGCUACUUUGUUUUCGGGAAAAGUACCAAAAAAGUCCUAAGCCUUUUGCAUUGGUACCAAUUUAAUCAUAAACUUUUCAAUUGGACCAAUUUAGUCAUAAACAUUUUGCGUUUGGUACUGAUUUAGUUCAUCCGGCCAUUCUCUACCGGAAAAGGCUUAUGUGGACUCCAAGUCAGUGCUGGCCGGCAUUGCUGGCGCUGACAUCCAGCACUGACAUGGAUGCCGAAGUGCAAAACUACGUCAUUUCGCUUAAAAAAAUUAUUUAAAAAAAAUUAAAAAGGGACUUUUUUACACCCAAAACACAGCAUAUCGUUUACCCUAAAAUUGAAGACGCUCUGCCCACGAUCUUCACCCAACGUACGCCCAAACCCUAUUAUGAUCUCCCCCCAAAAUUCUCAGCAACUUGCUCUAGAUUCAAUCUCAUCUUUCCAAUUUCUUGAAGCCAAGUUGUUCUUCCACCAAUCGCUUUCAUUAAUCAAGCCCCUUUCAGUUGAGGGCUUCAUCCAUCACAAUCCCAGACUCGCCCAUCUUUAUGGGCAAAGACUCAAUUCGCCCACAACCCCGUUGAGACUCGACUCAUUGUCACGACCCGACUCAUCCGUCACAAUCUGAAGCGAACAUGAGUAGGCGUUGUGGUCCCGGUUUGAUUGUUUUGUCGGCAGCGUUGAGCGACAACUUGACGUGGCAUCCUGAAGUUAGCAGAGAAUGUGAAAAGUAUGUUGCCGUGGUCCCCAAUUGAGUGUGUUGUCCUCUUUUUAUUUUAUAUAAUCAAUUUGCCUUGAUUUCUCCACGUAUGUCGUUGUUGGUUGGAAGAGAGAAAUCCAUCACAUUUACUGUCAAGUACCUGUGUGUAGUAGGGAAUAUAACACUUAAGUCUAGCCAAAUCAAUUUCUAAUAAAGCAUGAUAUGAAGAGAAAGCUUAUGUAUGCUCGCGUCUGGCCAAAUUCUUCAUGUGUAUAAUCAUAUGGUUGCUGGAUUCCUGUGUUUUUAUGCACAAUAUGAAGAGAAAGCCUUUGUUUCCGUGCACUUUUUCCUAUUCUUGUACAAGCUUUUUAUUACUUGAGGCAUGCACAAUCACAAUUAAAUAAUUGACAUGAGCAUACAUGUAUUCGGUUUCUCAAUUCAUUGAGGAUCUCUUUUGUGGAGUAGCCAUAGAUUUAUUAGCUGGGGCACUUGCAAACCUCACUGUCAAUUGUGUCCAAAUGAUGAUUAUUUUACGAAACGAGUAAAGGUUCAUGGUGGUUUUGUCAACAAAAGAAAAAUACAGAAAGAGGGGUUCAUAGUUUGGCUUUGAGUACUAACGUUUGAUAACAAAGAGAGAGACUGCAAUUCCAUAUAUUGUAAAAGUUAGUUUUAUUGAUCAAGUCCACACUAUUGACUGUACUCUAAUUUUUUUGAAUCCAUUAACACUUUUGCUUUGGAAGUUUUGGUUUUGAAUCUUUGGAUGUUUUUGAUUUUGAAUUUUUAGAUGUUGAUCACCUCUGAAUCCGAGUAGAUGAUCACUACUUUUUCUUCUAGAAACAUGAUGUAUAGAGUGCUACAUAGUAUGGGACUUACAAGUUCUAUGUAUUGCCUUGCUUAUAACAUACGUUACUUUUUUUCUUUUCUUUUUUCAUGUAGGGUCAAGAUGAGCGAAAAAUCAGCAUGGAUCUGCCUUUUCCAUGGUGGAACUUUAUCUCGUCGCCCAAUGCUUGAAUAUGUUGGAGGCAAGUUUGACUUGGUAAAAGUUGAUAUUAGUUCAACAAGCUACGAAAGCUUCAUUAGAGACAUCGAGAAUGGGGUAAAUAGUACAUUUGAAAAGCUUUAUUUUAAGAUUCCUGGAAAGUCACUAGAAGAGGUGUUGACAUACAUAUGGAAUGAGAAUAGAGUAGUCGAUUUAGUUUUUAGUUAUUUGCAUCAUGGGUUAAUUGAGUUAUAUGGAGAAAAUUUUACGACCAAUGAGGCAGCUGAGGGUGAUGGUCAAGGUGCCAAUGUGGGUGUGGAUAAGGGUAUUGGUCAGAGGGUCGGUGAGGAUGCUGGUCAAGGGGUUGGUGAGGGCGCUGGCACUAGUGUUAGUUUAAGUAAUGAGACCAUGAUUGAGUACAAGAGUGAUUUAGAUCCUGAUGAUUUAGUUAAUGAAGAUGAUUAUAUCGUGGAUGAUGACGAUGACGAUGAGGCAGACUUCCUUGUCGAUGUAAAAUUCUUGACUGAUAAUGAUGAUUAUGAUAAUGAGAAGCUUCUAGAAGCAAGGAAGAACAUGACAAAGUUCCAUGGGAAUGCCAUAAAUGAUUUCAUUACAAGGGAAUCAUCCACGGGGUUGGUGCCAUCACAAAGAUUAGAUGUGAAUAAUGUUACUAAUAUUGGAGCUAAUUAUGAAACAGAGUACUAUGAAACAGAUGGAAAUGAGAGUUUGGAGUCUAAUGAAGGAGAAGAAGAUGAUGAUUUUACUAGGAGGAGAAGUAGGUUUCCAAAGCAUGAUUCUAAUUGUGUUGUGCCUAUGUUUAUUGUGUCUAUGGCAUUUGAAAGUAGUAGGCAAUUCAAAGAUGCUCUAAUAAAGUAUUCAGUGGCUAAGCAUAAAGAGAUAAAAUUUGUAAAGAAUGACUAGAAAUUUGUCAGAGCAAAAUGUGCACAUGAAAAUUAUCCUUUGAAGAUUUCUAGAUCUGUCGAUACUCAUACCGGAUCAUUUCAUGUAAAGGCUUAUCAUUCAGAACAUACCUGUAGCAUAAGUUUCAAGAAUCGGAGGUUGACGAGUUCUUGGUUGGCCAAACACUAUCUUCCUACAAUAAGAGCAAUGCCAACUAUCAAGACUAUUGCUUUCAAGGAGCUUAUCAAUGAGCAACUGGGCAUAGAUGUGAGUAUCAUACAAUGCAAGAAGGCUAAAUUGUUGGCUUAUCAAGUAUUGAUGGGAAACUAUAAGGAGGAAUAUGCAAAGUUGUGGGAUUAUGCAGAGGAGCUUAGGGAGAGAAAUGCUAGGAGUACUAUUAUAUUGAAGGUUGAAAAGUCUGAUAUGCAAUCUAAGGUAUUAUUUGAGAGAAUGUACAUAUGUUUUGCUAUUUGUAAGAAAUGAUUCAUUGAUGGAUGUAGGAAAGUUAUGGGAUUAGAUGGUUGCUUCUUAAAAGGAAUUUGUCAAGACCAAAUCUUAUGUGCUGUUCGAAGAGAUGCAAACGAUCAGAUGUUCCCAAUUGCUUAGGCGGUUGUCCGAGUCGAGAGUAGCGACAGCUGGCGUGGUUCUUUACAAAUUUGAUAUAUGACCUCAACAUUUCAUCCUCAUAUUUACAAGGUUGGGUCAUAAUCAAUGAUAAACAAAAAGUAAGUUCAUUAUUAUUAUUAUUAUUAUUAUUAUUAUUAUUAUUAUUAUUAUUAUUAUUAUUAUUAUUUUGUUAUGCCACUAUAGUGACGCUUGUAAUAUAUGUUUCAUAUUAUGAUCAUCUUUUGCAGGGCCUUGUACAAGCUGUGGCUCAUUUGUUGCCUGCAGCUGAGCAUAGAAUGUGUGUGAGACACAUCUAUGCCAAUUGGAGCAAAAAGUAUAAAGGGAUACAAAUGCAAAGAUUGUUUUAGAAGUGUGCUAAAAGUAGUUCGAUGAUAGAGUUUGAUGAACACUCUCAAGCAUUGAAGAAAAUUAAUGAUACCGCAUAUCAUGACUUAGUUCAAACAGAGCCAAAGCACUAGUCUAGAGCCUUUUUUACAACUGAUGUAAAAUGUGACAUCGUUGACAACAAUUUAUGCGAGGCAUUCAAUGGAAGAAUUAUACAUUCUAGGUGUAAGUCCAUUUACAGUAUGUUGGAGGAAAUUCAAAUAAUAAUAAUGACAAGGAUGCAUACACAGAGGAAUGCAUAUGCUAAAUGGAGAAAGGACUGUGGUCCAAGAAUUGUAAGAAAGUUAGAAAAAGAUAGAGCCGGUGCGACAUAUUGCCAAGUGAUCUGGAAUGGUGAGACUGGAUAUGAGGUAAUGGAUAAGGGUGAGAAAUAUGAGGUGGAUGUGUUUAAGAGAGAUUGUUCUUGUCGAAGAUGGCAGCUUACUGGCAUCCCUUGUCCCCAUGCCAUUUCUGCUUUAAAUCAUAGGCAAGAUGAUACAUAUGAUUAUCUUGAUGAAUGUUACAAGAAGGCUAAGUUUUUAGAUGCAUAUAAAAAUAUGAUGAUGCCAAUUCGAGGGCAGAAAUUUUGGAAACAGACUCAUAGAGAGCCACCUGAACCACUUCCAGCCAAGGUCAAACCUGGUAGACGUAAACUGAAAAGAUUGAGGGAGGAAGGUGCGGUGGCACUUGGAACUAAGAUAUCGAGGAUCGGAAUGAAAAUGACAUGUCAAGCUUGCUUGAAGACAGGACACAACAGUUUAACAUGUCCAGCUAAGAAGAUUGGGUCUACAUCAUCACAAACACGAUUUUCAAGGCAAAACAUUUUGGUUAGUAUCUCCAUUUUCAUUGUGUUAUGCUUGUUUUGUUAAUAAAACUAUAAGCAAAUAUACUUUUUGUAGGUACAGAGACGUACAGGUAAAGUGACAAGUGGUAGUGGUGGCGGCCCUACCGGUGUGAAUCCUACGGUCAACGCAAAAGCCAAAAGUUGCUCAAAGAGGUAGAAGUGGCGAGAUGUGGGGGUAGAUUUAGUAGUGAUAUGUUUUAGUUGUAACUUUUUGUGAAGAUAGGUCAAGUGAAGAUUUUCUUUUAAUGUAAAUUUUUUAUCGGCACACUCUGGGUUCUUGCCUUUUGAAGAAAAAAAACACCCAUGUUGCACUAUCUUCUAGACUUGAUUGAGUUCAACUAAGACAGUACUACUUCAAAGCAGCAACAAAUAUUCGCAUUUUGAUGCCAUGAACUGUUAAUGAAUAUCAUCUCUUGUUUCAAUAUACUUGUUGUAAGUUCUAGGCAUGAGUUUUGCAUUGGUGUUUUUUUUUCCUCUGUACUUCCUUAAUAACCAUACAGCAACUUGGAUAAUGAUGUCCCACAUAUGACAGGUUGUUUGAACCUUUAAUAAGAAAUUGUCUUUUUUUACUUUUUGGUAGCCAUUUGGACGUAAGAUUGUGUGUACGUUGUUUGCUUGUUUGGUAGCCAUUUGGACAUAAGAUUGUGUGUAUGUUGUUUGCUUGUUUAAUAUUUUGUGGUUAUUUGUUCUCGAAGUAGUGAGAUUGUAUUGCUUUUUUUUUUCCUCAUAUUGUACUCCAUUAAUCAUAAUAGCAGGUCGUGACAUCAAGAACGAUAUGUCUUUGGUGUUGAGAUUGAGAAACAAAUUGCAUAUGACACAAGAUAGUGCAAACAACUUUCACUUUGUUCAUGUUCAUGUUCCAACAUGUGGACAAAUACAAAAUAUAUUGCAAAAAUGUACAAAAAUAUAUUAUAUAACAAGAUCAACAUUAACACCAAGCUCAGUACAUCAUUCAUCUUCGAAUUUCCAAAUACCAUGUUUCCUAGAAUUACUGUAAAGACCCACGACACAAUCAACAUGGUCUUCAAUGUCGACAUUUGUUUUUUUUCAACAUUGCUCCGGUGAAAUUGUGUUGACACACUUCUUGUUGAUGGACACAUUUUUGCAUCAACCCAAAUAAAUAAAUAAAUAAAUAAAACCGCAACUUUCUCUGAUUUUAUAUUUCGGAUAGCCGUGAUAUCUUCUUCCUCGAUUCUCCUUCAUCUUUACUGUUUUAUCCUGUAAAAAAGUUAAACAACAGCACCUUAGCAUAUGUUACAUGGCUUAACCUCAAUAGCAACAAUAUAACUCAUUCCAUCUUGAAAUUAGUCUCAACAACAAGAAAUUAGGUCCUAAAUGCACCUCAUAAUGCUGACCUAAAAUUCCUGUCCCUAUUAGGAUACAACAAGCUUACCAAAAGAAAAUACAAAUAAGAACUUCAAAAAUUUGUUUCAUGCUUCUAAGACAAAUGCUUAACAGACUACAUCAGAGCAUAUAUAUUCAUGCUUAGCCAACGCCAACAUCAGAGUAAUUUUCCUCCCAAAUUGUAUGCAUGAUAUGGAUCUCGAUUUCCCAAAAACUAAGCAAAUGUCAACGUCGACUACAAAGUUUAGGCAAAUGUGAUUUCGACUCCAAUUAAGCCAAUAGUUCUUGGAGGGAGAUCAGAAUCCGCAAACACAGCGUGCAAGCAACGUCGCCAUUUGAGCCAUCCGCAAACUAUGGUACCAUAUUUGGAAGAUGAAGACCCCCCUCUAAAAUUAGGAUUUUUCUUUGGAGUAUAUGUCAAAAUGCUCUUCCCACAACAGAAAAUCUUACCUCGGCCAGCAUGCCUAAUCUAUGAUCAAGAAGCAGAAUCAGUGGAACAUAUAUCCUUCCUUUGUCUAUGGACGAACUCAAUUUGGUCGGAUCCUGAAGUAAAAAUCCAAAUUUCACGUCAAAACCUUUUGCGAAUUGAGGUUUGGCUCCAACACAUAAUUGAACAGCCGGGAAAUUCACUGACUUUCGAAGAAAUUACAACCCUUUUGUGAUUCAUUUCAAAAGCAAUGAAUGACUUUGUAUUUCAAAGGUUAAACCCCAAAUUCGAGAAACCCUAAUUGACUCAGCACAAGCAUUACUCAGCAAUUUCAGCAAGUGGAACAAGCAAAGUUCGAAACUUUACAUGGGAAUGACUCAAUUGACUCAAAGAUUGGAUCCCAUUGAAGCCUCUUACCUUUAAAAAUCAACAUCGACAGAGCAUUUAUGGAAGGAGCAACGGUAGUGGCCAUCUUGGGAGUUCUUCGAGACGCGUUGGGAACCCUUCUCGACGGUUUCGCAAAGACGAUUCCAGCUUCAAUGGCGAUCCAGAUGGAGUACUUGGCCUUGAUUGAAGCUCUGAAUUUUUUUCGGUCAAAGAGAGAGAGAUGGAGGCGAUUGGUGGAAGAACAACUUGGCUUCAAGAAAUUGGAAAGUCGAGAUUGAAUCUAGAGCAAGUUGCUGAGAAUUUUUGGGGUAGAUCAGAAUAGGGUUUGGGCGUACUUUGGGCGAAGUUCGUGGGCGGAGCGUCGGUAGAGCAUGGGCAGAGCAUCUUCAAUUUUAGGGUAAACGAAAUGCUGCGUUUUGGGUGUAAAAAAGUCCCUUUUGAAAAAAAAAUUAAUAAUUUUUUUAAGCGAAACGACGUAGUUUCGCACUCCGGCGUCCAUGUCAACACCGGCAACGCCAGCCGGCGUUGACUUGGAGUCCACAUAAGCCUUUUCUAGUAGAGAAUGGCCGGAUGAACUAAAUCAAUACCAAACGCAAAAGGUUUAGGACUAAAUUGGUCCAAUUGAAAAGUUUAAAACUGAAUUAGUAUCAAUGCAAAAGGUUUACGAUUUUUUUGGUACUUUUCCCUUUUGUUUUCUGCAACAGUUUUGGCUUUUCUUUCGAUGCAAAGGAGUCGGCAAACCUCCGUCUUCUUCAUGCCAACAAGACGCGCCCACAUCUGAUAUAUAAAACUUGAUGCGGUCGGUAUCCAUGUUUAUAAAGAGUUCAUUAUCUCUUAGAAUGAGUCUUAACAGCUCAUCUAACACCAAUUCAGUGAGUACUGGACAUAUAAAUGAAAGUCUAUGAAGUUGCUCCUUUCAAGUUGUAAAAGAUCCUCAAAAGUUGAUAAGUAGGUGAUUAAUUUUUAAUUUCACCAAAGUCGCUCGCAUAGUACUAAUCAGCUGCGAACACAGCCCAACAACACACAACACCGCCAUGAAUAAUACAACAAGAAGGAGGUCCACGACAGGAUCGGUCAAACCAGACUCAACAAAGCUUAUUUGAUCACCCAGAUCGAGUAGAAACAUACUUAGUAGACACAGAAAGACUCGCUAUCCUUCGCAUAGACCAAGGACUCGGGUGCACUCGGCAUAACUGAUAAAACAGUCCUAAUACAGACCGGGCCAGAGCUCAAGGACCUUCUUCCAAGAAGGCCUGCUCGAGAUAUCAUCCCACCAACCGCUCACAUGCUUUCGGUCCCUUAUCAGAUACUCCUUCCCUAUCUUUCCCACCAAGUACUGGGUGAACGGAAGGUGGCUCAGGUCGGCAAGGCUGAAGAAAUCCCCUGCCAGGUACUUGCUCUUUGACAGCCUCUCCUCGUAGAUAUCCAGAACCUGACAGAGCUUGUCCUCGCUCUCUUUGAGCUGCUUCGGAUCCGGGGUAAGCCCAAUAAAAGGGCCAAAAACAAUUUUGAGGACAAGGUCGUAGAUUGGCGGAUGGAAGUUGUGGGCCUCGACUUCGAGCCACUGCUCAACGAGCCCCCUCUCCUCGAUUGUCUUCCCCAGCAGUUCAGUCCCUUGGUCCUUGUAUUUCUCGGCAUAAUACCUUAUGAUGGCCCGCGAUUCUGUAUGAAUUAGACAGGAUAUAUCACAGAGAAUAGACAGACAAAUCUUUAUCCCCACAUAUGAAAAGCAACAAAUAACCAGAAUGAAACCUAAAAGAGGCAUGCACUGUGCUUUCGAAUCUUCCAGCAGUCUUACUCUCAUGACACUAGACCCACGGUAUAAGUGUAGAUGCAGCAGGACACUUCAAUGUCUAUGCACUGAUCAUUCUGCUUAAAGUCCAAUCAAGAACAUGACCGGAUGAAAAUGCAGGUCCAAACUGAAAAUCGCCUUUGGUCGACAUACGAAAAGAGGCAGAUCAUGAACAACUCCAGAACAGAUAUGGAGACUAAGAGCCUGGCCUUAAGAGCUUUGGAUUCAAAUCAUCUGUUCCCGAGGCAAAUGAUUAGACUUGAGAUUGAGAGUGGAUGUAUGUAACCUAAAACGAGUGGCUGAUAUCAGGUGAACAUGCCGGUGGACUCAAUCUUUUCAACUUCCUCUGAUAUCCACUCAUUGCAGAACUCUUUAGACUAUUGCGACGCUUCACCGGCCGAUUACAACGCAAACAGCCCUAGUAAAUUAGGAACAUCUGCACGCUAAAGAACCAUCCGUAUGUCCCCGUGCUCUGAUCUCAAGACCGCAAGAAAACAGCAAUAGAAAGAAAAUAACGAUGCAAGAAGCCAAGAGUCGAGAGCAUUACCGAACAGAGUGUAGUCGCCAUCUUGAACCACAGGAAGCGAUCCGAAGGGCUACACAGACGCGCGCGCACACACGAGAUCCGAAUCAGCGUCAAUCAGACAAGACUACCCACGAAAGGAGACACAAUGAAAAUUCAAGCGAUCAAGAGUUUGACCGAAAGCGAAGUUGGAGUUUCAAGAACGACCGGGACAGACCUGGAGCUUGAGGUACUCGGGGGCUUUGUGCUCGCCUUUGAGGAGGUCGACGCCGACGGUCUCGAACUCGACGCCCUUCUCGAGCAGGCACACCAGUGCCCGCUUCGGCGACGCGUAGUCAGGUCCGUACACCUUCACCACCAUCGUCACUCUCGCUCUCUCUCUGUGCUUCUCUCUUCCUUCUUGACGGACCUAGUCAGCGACUCUCUCCGCUGUGUCUCCGUGGCGCUAUAAAGAGGUCUCUUUGUUAGAGCAGCAGAAGAAGGUGCACAAGUCAAUGAUGCACCAACCCACAAUUAAUCCAAGGUUAGGUAAUUGGUCCCCAUCAUUAUGAAGUUUCGCAUUUCGCAUUUGCUUCCAUGAGUUUGAAUCCCUCUGUAAGUUCAACUUAUGUGGAAAUACCGCGACUCUUUUGGCUGUGUAUGCUAUCUGGGUAAAGUUGGGAUGGCAAGUAGGGCCUCCUUUGGCUGUCAAGGGAUUUAUUGCCCUAGAUUAAAAAUAUCCCAUAAAAGAGAUGAAAUAAAUAUAGAUAGAAUUUUUUAUAUUUAUGAUAUAAAAAUCAUUUUUGUCUAAUAACAAAUUUCUUCGAAUUUAAAUAAUUAAAUAUAAACAAUAUAUGAGUUCUAAUAUUAAAAGGGAAAUUCAAAAUAACAACGAUUUUCAUUUUAUUUUAUUUUUAUUUAUCCGAAUUUAUUUUCUAUAUAUACAUACUUAGCAUUUAUAUCUAUCACAUAUUUUAGGUAUAUUGGUAUGGUUAAUUUAUUAAGAAAUGAUGGAAAGGAAUUAAAAAAAAAAGGAAACAAAACAAAAGAGUGAAAAUAAUAUAAAAAUAAAUAAAUAAAAUUGAAGUAGGCGAGAGAGUUGAAACACUAAUUAAGAUUCGCGAAGGUAAAUGAUCAUGUUUUCUUUCUCUUAGUAGAUUUGACAAGUGUUGACUAAUCCACCUAUCAAUGUUGUCAUAGCUCAUUUAGGUUUGUCGUCAAAAUCGAAUUCAUGACUUUGAAAUGUUGCAAUGAGCUCAUUUGUUAUUUAAGAUUUGGAUUGUCCAAUAAUUAUGCAUUUAUUUAUGGAUGUUAUCUCUGUCUACUUAUGGUUUCUUUAACAAUUAAUGUAAGAUAUUCUUAACAUCUCCAUUUGUACAUUUUCAUGUUCAUUUAUAUUGAUAUACUAUUCCUAGCAAAUAUUUGACAUGAUAGGAUAUGAAAAUAUUCAGUUUUAUUACAACAAUUCACCACAUAAUAGAUAAGAUUUUGUUAAUUCCAUAUCUUACCAUAUCACAUUCUAUUCAAUCAUAUCGUAAUUAGAAAUCCAAAUGAACAAAUACACCUAAAAUUGUUAAAAUUUGUCAUGCUCCAUGGGACAUUUGUAAUCUUGAAAGAUCUGUCUUUUGUCGAUUUCUUUUGCACUAAAUUGGUGUCGCACCUAUGCUCUACACCUUUGAUUAGUUUCGGCCGAAAGUUUUCAAUAAUUGUCACAAGAUGAAAAGCACCGUGCUCAUUUUUUUCACAUGGCCCACCUGCUUCUGGAAAGGCAAUUACCAAUUUGCUCGAAUAGGGUAGUAGGUGAGAGGUCAAAUUGGCCUAUGUCCGCAAGCCAUAGAUUCUAAUAAUCGGUCUUCUUUUCAAUCUAAAUUAUUCGAGGGAGUAGGAAGAUUUGGCCAACCGAAAAUGCACACUUGAGCUGUCCUUGCAUCAUUAACAAAAUGGUUUUCUUUCUCAACUUCCUUUGCACCUGCAAUUGAGUAAACUAUUGAUCACCUAACCUCCACAGGAGAACAAGCAAGAAAGGGGUAAUCGAUUAUUAUAUGUUCGACGCCAUUAUUCACCCAAAUCAAUCAUCGCGAGUGAGAAUUUAAGAAACCUCAUAACAUUUUUCAUGUGACAACGGAAUUAGAAGAGCAAAAAGCAUCAUUGUUCGGACGAAAUACUGCUAUGAGAAAGACUAUCGGUUCGAGUGUUAGAAGAGAGGUGUUUUUUGGAAGGAUCAUUUAUGUGACUCUCUCUCCUCUGAAACUUUUUCGUAUUUGAUUCGUCAAACCUAAUUGCAAAAGUAAACCGUGAUAAUUUCACCCUGCAAUGCUGGUCAAGUACGCUGCUUUGGUUGGCUUCCUGGCUGCCCACUGAUUAGGGCGAGUCCUGAAAAUUACUGUCUUGGAUUGAAUCAAGCCGAGGAAUGCGGAGAAACCUUAUAACGAAUAUUGAUCUCCUGCUGAUGCUCAGAGGCACACCAUCGUAAAAGACAAAUCGUAAUAUUUGGUCUUUCUUUGUUUUAUUUGGUCAAAAGUGGGCUUUUUCAUAUUUAAAGAAAGGAGAAAAGAAGAGUAAUAAUGGGACAGCCCGCACCGAGAGAGAAAGGAAAAGGAAACGCGAUAGAAAAGGAAGACGAGAGGGAAAAGGUAAAGAGGAAGAACUAGCGCACACACCUUGGAAUUAUCGUCAGGUUGGAUUGACUUCAUUUUUAUGAUCAGAAUUUACGGCAUUUGUUUGUUUAUUCGGAGUAGUUUUCAAAAUCAAGAUACAAAUUCGAAAUCAUGUGAAAUUUAAACUACGAAUUCAGUUUUUGAGUUGUUAGAUGUGGAAUUGCAUGGAAAUCAUGAUUAGGGCGUUAUGGAGUCAUGAAAUAUGAUGGGAAUUCCUUACCAAAAUUAUUUGAAGUAACUUUUAAAUCAUAUUUGAUGGGAUUUAUUUGAAGUAACUUUUUAGUCGAAGUGAACUUUAGAAAUUUCUACAGAGCUCUACAUUGUGAUUAGCUUUGAUUCAUCGCAAUGGGCGAGCGAUUUGUUGUGCAUGGGUGUAAUUUUGUUAGGGAUUAAACUUAGUUCAGCCAAUUCGUGGUUGAGAUAGUGUUUUACUUGAUUUUGAUGUAAAUUCUAAUUUAAUUUAUAAAAUUACAAGAUCGUCAGCUCUUUUGAUUUUGGGUAUUUUCAAGUGAAUGAUACUAUCCCUUUUUUGAAUUUCUAAACUCAUAUGUUGAAAAUGAAAGGGAUUAGACAUAUUAUGUGUAAAGUAUGAUUUAAUUAAAUGGCAGAAAUGAUGUUCAUUGCAUAUUUGAUACAUAAAAUUUGAAUCGGGUAUUUAUUGCCCUUUUGAUUAUUUGAAAUAGCGUGGAAAGCAUUUUUGGAAACAAUUUACGAGUUGAUUAUUAUGAAAUAAUUUGGGAAGUGCUUUAUUGCAUAAAAGUUAUAUGUAUUGAUUUGUGAAAUUGAUUUAUAAAGGUAUUAUAUUGCAAAAGGAUAUAUGUUUGAUAUUAUGAAAACCAUUUAUGAUAUCGAUUCUGGAUUAGUUUUGAGGAAGAAAUUGAUUUUUGAAAGGAUAUAUGUUUUGGUUUGUGUCAAAGUAUUUUGAUUAUGGGAUGGAUCUGGGUUUGGUAUUGUGGAUUAUUAGAAUAUGAUGGUUUGAUUCUUAUUAUUGUUGCAAACUUAGUUAGGAGUUUUUAAGGCUUAAGGAUAUUAUUAUGGGUCAAACCACUAGCUGCUAAUAGGCGGAGACAUUGCCUUGGUCCUCUUUCACCAAUCGUGAUUAUGGUUGAAUAUUAAGCAUAAAAUGAAUCAGUGAAAUAGCUUAUUGAUGUGUGGAGCGAGUUUCAAGAACAGAGACAGGCCUGAACUUGAGGAAUUCAGGGGCUCUGUUCUCGUCCUUGAAGAUAUUGAUGGGAACGGUCUCGAACUCGACGCCUUCUCGACCAGGCACACCAGCACUCGCUUCGGAUUUGCAUAAUCAGGCCCGUACACCUUCACCACCAUUUUUUCUCUCUUCUUCUCUCUUGUCGACGGACCAGUUGAUUUCCAAAUAUCUUUCAGGAUCGACUCUCUCCUUCUGCAUCUGGGUUUUUAAAGGAAGCCCUUUUCAGAGGAUUAAACCAUGUUGCACACGACACCGUCAUGCACCAACAUACUGCUCGCGACCCGAUUCCUUUGGGGAUCCAAGGUUAGAUAAUCGGUCAACGUUGGUAUGCUACUAAUUACCUUUGUCGAAUUUUACUUCGCAUAUGCCUUGGAAGGCUUUGCAACAUUUCCUCUGACUUAUCUUUCAUAGAUUCUUCUCUGGCAAUGCGCAUGCUAUGACAUAUUUGGACGGUAGACUUGAAAUUCAUUAUGCUCGCACAAAUUUCCGCAGAGAAAACGACAGUCUUUAAAACUUUAGCCUAAGUACAACGUCAUCUUUGACUUUUAUUAAUUUAGUGAAUUCCUUGAAUUUCUAAUGUCCAAUCUAAUCCUUAAACCCUUUCGCAUUUUCCCAAUUAAGUCCAUCUAGCCAAUUUUAGCUAAAAAUCACUAAACUAGACAUUAACUAUAUUAGGUAGUACAGGUGACAUUGACGUAAAUAAUUUUUUAAUUUUUUUUAACAUUUUUAAUGAACUUUUUAUUUUUUAUUUUUCUUUUCUUUUUCUAAUCCUAGGCCGGCAACCCUCGCCUUGUCUAGGCUAGGGGCCCUCGAGCUGCGGUGGUUGUUUUUGUAGCAAUGGUCUCCCUCCUCCUUUGAGGAGUUUGUGUUCUGAUCUUCAUGCCGUGCUUGUCUCUUGUUAGCUUGGCUUCCUUUUUCUGGUUGCCUUGUGUUGUUGAUUUUACAUCUCGGCAUCCGUCCACUCAUUAUGUCCUCUCAUCUUGAGUGUAUGUUUUCGAUGCCGUAACCUUUUGUACAUUUGGCAUUUCCCUAUAUAUUUAUUACCUCUUACCAAAAAAAAAAAAAAAAAAAAAACAGGUGAAGGAUGCCCUCGCCUUACCCAAGCCAAGCAAGGUUGUCACAGCCCUAGCCUAAAUCUAGGCAAAGGCCAACCCUCUCACUUGUGGCCUGCAACUUAAGUAACAUCGAUCAGUAUGUGACAUGCAACACAACAUAAGACAACGUGCGAUAUGGCACAACACGAUACGUUGACACAUUAAUUCUCGAAAAAUAGAGAAUUCCAACACGUUAGGAUGCAUUGUAUAUUAAAUAUAUAUAUUUUAUAUAUACAUGAUAAAUUAUCAUUUUUAUGAUUAUUUUAAUAAAUUUAAUUUGAUUUAGAUUCGGAAUAAAUAAAUAAUAAAAAAGAGCCUAGAAUGAAUUUACACUAAAAACAUUAAUUUACCGUUUGUUGAUAUGAUUCAUUGUUUCAAUUUAACAAAUCUAACUAUAUUCCGUUCAAAUAAUCUAUAAAACUUGAAGGAAAAAAAAAUCACAUUCCAUUAUUAAAUUUAACAUUUAACAAGAAAUCGAAAAAAAAAAACAAUUCACAUUUCACCAUCAAAUAUAACAAGAAGUCGUUAUUUCCCCCUUUAUUUAUUUUUAUUUUUAUUUUAUUUUUUACAUAUUUAUAUUUUGACUCCUCGUUUAGUGAAACUUUUUAAAAUUAACCUAAUGUGUAUCAAAAUCACUUGUCAGAAUUAUAGACUCACAUGUCGGAUCAUGUCGGGCCGUAUGUCGGAUUUUCCGACACCUGUUGACUACAUAUCAGAAUGUGUGGGAGCGUGUCGAAGUGUUUGACACAACACGAAAGAUCUUGGAAAAUGAACUAGGGUUAGGAAAAAAAAUAAAGAAAAGGAAAAACAAACAAAUAAAUAAAAUUAAAAUAUUCAAAUAUUAUUAAAAAUUGUGUAUGUUAGCGCUAGUCGUUGCCAGCCAUAUCACAUACAAUGUCUGAUCCACAUUAGUAAUUUUAUGUCAACAUUGGUUGAAGGAACUCAAUUGGCAAAAGUCGAAGAUGUUUAGACUCAAUUAACAAAAUUGAAAAGUUUAUGACUAAAUUGGCAAAAUUACUAUAGAUUUAUGACUUUUUGGAUAAUUUUUCCUCUUCCCUUGCAUGCAAUGCGGACUGAACUUAUCUCCUAGAGUGAGUCUUAACAGCUCAUCUAACACCAGUUCAGUGAGCGCUGGACAUGUGAACGAACAUUUAUGAAGUUGCUCUUUCCAAGUUGUAAAAUAUCCACGAAAGUUGGUUAGUAGGUGGUUAAUUUUUAAUUUCACCAAAGUCACUGGCAUUGUACUAAUUAGCCGCGUACAUAGCCCGACAAAACACGACACCGCCAUGAAUAAUACAACACCAAAGAGGUCCACAGCAGGAUCAUUUACUGGAGAAAUCCCACUUUUACACAUGACCUUCACAAACCAGACUCAACAAAAGCUUAUUUGAUAGUCCAAAUCUGCCGAUUCAGAUCGAGUAGAAACAUACUAAGUAGGCACAAAGAGACUCGCUAUCCUUCACAUAGACCAAGGACUCGGGUGCACCCGGCAUACCUGAUAAAACAGUCCUAAUACUGACCGGGCCAGAGCUCAAGGACCUUCUUCCAAGAAGGCCUGCUCGAGAUAUCAUCCCACCAACCGCUCACAUGCUUCCGGUCCCUUAUCAGGUACUCCUUCCGCAUCUUGCCCAUCAAGUACUGGGUGAACGGAAGGUGGCUCAGGUCCGCAAGGCUGAAGAAAUCCCCUGCUAGGUACUUGCUCUUUGACAGCCUCUCCUCGUAGAUAUCCAGAACCCGACAGAGCUUGUCCUCGCUCUCUUUGAGCUGCUUCGGAUCCGGGGUAAGCCCAAUAAGCGGGCCGUAAACAAGAUUGUGGACAAGGUCGUAGAUUGGCGGAUGGAAGUUGUGGGCCUCGACUUCGAGCCACUGCUCAACGAGCCCCCUCUCCUCGAUUGUCUUCCCCAGCAGUUCAGUCCCUUGGUGCUUGUAUUUCUCGGCAUAAUACCUUAUGAUGGCCCGCGAAUCUGUAUGAAUUAGACAGGAUAUAUCACAGAGAGUAGACAGACAAAUCUUUAUCCCCACAUAUGAAAAGCAACAAAAAACCAGAAUGAAACCUAAAAGAGGCAUGCACUCUGCUUUUGAAUUUACCAGCAGUCUUUACUCUCAUGACAUUAGACCCACGGUAUAAGUGUAGAUGCAGCAGGACAUUUCAAUGUCUAUGCACUGAUCAUUCUGCUUAAACUCCAAUCAAGAACAUAACCGGAUGAAAAUGCAGGUCCAAACGGAAAAUCAGCGGCCUUUGGUCGACAUAUGAAAAGAGACAGAUCAUGAACAACUCCAGAACGGAUAUGGACACUACGAGCCUGGCCUUAAGAGCUUCGGAUUCAAAUCAUCUGUUCCUCAGGCAAAUGAUUUGACUUGAGAUUGAGAGUGGAUGUAUGUAACCUAAAAUGAGUGGCUGAUAUCAAGUGAACAUGCCGGAGGACUCAAAUCUUUUCAACUUCCUCUGAUAUCCACUCGUUGUAGAACUCUUUAGACUAUUGCGACGCUUCACUGGCCGAUUACAACGCAAACAGCCCUAGUAAAUUAGGAACAUCUGCAUGCUAAAGAACCAUCCGUAUGUCCCCGUGCUCUGAUCUCAAGACCGCAAGAAAACAGCAAUAGAAAGAAAAGAACGAUGCAAGAAGCCAAGAGUCGAGAGCAUUACCGAACAGAGCGUAGUCGCCAUCUUGAACCACAGGAACCGAUCCGAAGGGCUACACAGGCGCGCACACACGAGAUCCGAAUCAGCGUCAAUCAGACAAGACACACUUUGAAUGCCAAGUACCCACGAAAGGAGACAUAAUGAAAAGUCAAGCUGUCAAGAGUUUGACCGAAAGAGAAGUUGGAGUUUCAAGAACGACCGGGACAGACCUGGAGCUUGAGGUACUCCGGGGCUUUGUGCUCGCCUUUGAAGAGGUCAACGAUGACGGUCUCGAACUCGACAUCCUUCUCGAUCAGGCACACGAGCACCCGCUUCGGCGACGCGUAGUCAGGGCCGUACACCUUCACCACCAUCCUCACUCUCGCUCCCUCACUCUCUCUCUCUCUGCUUCUUUCUUCCUUCUUGACGGACCUGGUCAGCGACUCUUUCCGCUGUGUCUCCCGGGUUUUAUAAAGAAGUCUCUUUGUUAGAGCAGCAGACAGAAGCUGCACACGUCAAUGAUGUACCAACCCACCACCAAUCCAAGGUUAGUUAAUUGGUUCCCAUCACUAAAGAGUUUUGCAUUUUGCAUUUACUUCCAUGAGUUUGAAUCCCUCUGCAAGUUAAGACUUAUGUGGAAAUACUGCGACUCUUUGGCCGUGUAUGCUCUCUGAGUAAAGUUGGGAUGGCAAGUAGGGCCUCCUUUGCCUGUCCAGGGAUGUAUUGCCCUAGAUUAAAAAUAUCCCAUUAAAGAGAUUAGAUAAAUAUAGAUAGAAUUUAUUAAAUUUAUGAUACAAAAACUAUUUUUAUCGAAUAACAAAUUUCUUCGAAUUUAAAUAAUUAAAUAUAAACAAUAUAUGAGUGCUAAUAUUAAAAGGGAAAUUCAAAAUAACAAUGAUUUUGGUUUCACUUUUAUUUAUUUAUCUAUCACAUAUUUUAGGUAUAUUGGUAUGGUUAAUUUAUUAAGAAAUGAUGGAAAGGAAUGAAAAAAGAAACAAAAAAAGAGAGUGAAAAUAAUAUAAAAAUAAGUAAAUAAAAUUGAAGUAGGCGAGGGAGUCAAAACACUAAUUAAGAUUCGCAAAGGUAAAUGAUCAUAUUUUCUUUCUCUUAGUAGAUUUGACGAGCGUUGACUAAUCUACCUAUCAAUGUUGUCAUAGCUCAUUCACAUUUGUCGUCAAAGUCAAACUCAUGACUCUGAAAUGUUGCAAUGAGCUCAUUUAUUGUUUAAGAUUUGGAUCGUCCAAUAAUUAUGGAUUUAUUUAUGGAUGUUAUCUCUGUCUACUUAAGGUUUCUUCAGCAAUUAACUAUAAGAUGUUCUUAACAUCUCCCUUUGUACAUUUUCAUAUUCAUUUAUAUUGAUAUACUAUUCAUACCAAAUAUUAGACAUGAUAGAAUAUGAAAAUAUUUGGUUCUAUUACUGUAAUUUACCACGUAAUAGACAAGAUUUUGUUAAUUUCAUAUCCUACUAUAUCAUAUUAUAUUCAGUCUUAUCUUAACUAGAAAUCCAAAUGAACAAAGAUAGCCUAAAAUUGUUAAAAUCCAUCAUGCUCCAUGGGACAUUUGUAAUCCUGAAGAUCUGUCUUUUGUCGAUUUCUUUCGAACUAAAUUGGCGUCACACCUAUACUCUACACCUUUGAUUAGUUUCGGCCGAAAGUUUUCAAUAAUCGUCACCAGACAUGGCGAAAAGCACUGUGCUUAUUUUUUCACAUGGCCCGCCUGCUUGUAGAUAGGCAAUUACCAAUUUGCUCGAAUUGGGUAGUAGGUGACGGGUCAAAUUGGCCUAUGUCCGCAAGCCAUAGAUUCUAAUAAUCGGUCUUCUUUUUAAUCUAAAUUAUUCAGGGGAGUAGGAAGAUUUGGCCAAUCAAAAAUGCACACUUGACCUGUCCUUGCACCAUAUACAAAAUGGUUUUCUUUGUCGACUUCCUUUGCACUUGCAAUUGAGUAAACUAUUGAUCACCUAACCUCCACAAGGAAGAAAGGGGUAAUAGACUAUUAUAUGUCCGAUGCCAUUAUUCACCCAAAUCAAUCUUUGCGCGUGGGAAUAUAAGAAACCUCAUAACAUUUUCCAUGCAACAACGGAAUUAGAAGAGCAAAAAGCACCAUCGCUCAGACAAAAUACUGCGAUGGGAAAUACUAUCGGUUCGAGUGGUAGAAGGAGGUGUUUUUGGGAAGGAUCAUUUAUGUGACUCUCUCUCCUCCGAAACUUUUUCAUAUUUGAUUAGUCAAACCUAAUUGCGAAAGUAAACCGUGAUGAUCUCACCCUGCAAUGCUGGUCAAGUACGCUGCUUUGGUUGACUUCCUGGCUGCCCACUGAUGAGGGCGGGUCCUGAAAAUUGCUGUCUCGGAUUGAAUCGAGCUGAGGAAUGUGGAGAAACCUUAUAACGAAUAUUGAUCCAGCUGAUGCUCGGAGGCACACCAUCGUAAAAGACAAAAUGUAAUAUUUGGUCUUUCUUUGUUAUAUUUGGUCAAAAGUGGGCUUUUCAUAUUUAAAGAAAGGAAAAAAUAAGAGUAAUGAUGGGACAGCCCGCACCGAGAGUGAAAGGAAACGGGAAAGAAAAGGAAGACGAAAGAGAAAAAGUAGAGAGGAAGAACUAGCGCACACACCUUGGAAUUCUCGUCGAGUUGGAUCAACUUCAUUUUUAUGAUAAAAAUUUACGGCAUUUGUUUGUUUAUUUGGAGUAGUUUUCAACAUCAGGAUACAAAUUCGAAAUUAUGUGAAAUUUAAACUACAAAUUCAAUUUUAAGAUGUGAUAUUACAUGGAAAUCAUAAUUAGGGCAUUAUGGAGUUAUGGAAAAAGAUUUGAAGUAACUUUUUGGUCAAUGUGAAAUUUUAGAGAUUUCUGCAUGAGCUCUACAUUAUGAUUUAAUUAAAUGGCAGAAAUAAUGUUCAUUGCUUAUUUGAUACAUAAAAUUUGAAUCGGGUAUUUAUUGCCCUUUUGUUUAUUUGAAAUAGCGUGGAAAGCAUUUUUGGAAACAAUUUACUAUUAUUGUGAAAUAAUUUGGGAAAUGCUUUAUUGCAUAAAAGCUAUAUGUAUUGAUUUGUGAAUUUGAUUUAUAAAGAUAUUAUAUUGCGAAAGGAUAUAUGUUUGAUAUUAUGAAAACUUUAUGAUAUCGAUUCUGAAUUGGUUUUGAGGAAGAAAUUGAUUUUUGAAAGAAUAUAUGUUUUUUGUUUGGUCGGUCAAAGGAUAUAUGUUUUGGUUUGUGUCAAAGUAUUUUGAUUAUGAGAUGGAUUUGGGUUUGGUAUUGUGGAUUAUUAGAAUAUGACGAUUUGAUAAUUAAUAUUGUUGCGAACUUAGUUAGGAGUUUUUAAAGCUUAAGGAUAUUGUUAUAGGCCAAACCACUAGCUGCUAACAAGCAGAGACAUUGCCUUGGUCAUGUUUCACUAGACAUUGUGUCGUGAUUAUGGUUGAAUAUUAAGCAUAAAAUGAAUCAAUGAAAUAAAUCAUUGAUGUAUGGUGUGAAAUUAAUCAUUGGUCAAUGAAAUAGAUCAUCGAUAUGUGAAUUGAUGAGAUUGAUCAAUAUAUUGGACCAUUGAUAUCUACUUUAAUAUUAUCGAUGAAAAGAGUAUUUCUUAUAUGUAUAAAGUUUUGUUCAAAAGAUAAAACUUGUUUUUGAUUUCAUACAUAUGCAAUACUGUGGAUUUGAAUUAGAUGAGUUUUGAUUUUGUACUGUAAACAUGCACAGUAUAUGCUCAAUCUGCUUAGAAGAGAUAUGCACUUCUUAUCGAGCUAUAGUUGCUUAUUUUCAACUUCUUUAGUUAUUGACAAGCAAGAACAGAGCGCUAAUGGCAAGGAGCUUUCGCUAGUUGUGUUUUGGAUAUGAGUUGAGAUAGUACGAUAUACUUAUAUUUUAAUAUCAAGUUUGGGAUUGAGAAUGCGUUCUCCAAGUAGAAGGGCAGCAGUAUCGUUUCCCCAUUUCCAUAGAAUUCAGGAUGUGGCACGCGCCUCGUAUGGAUCAAACUUUUCGAGUCAUGUCCGUGUGGACUUGUUGUAGGGGUCAAGGUCACCGCUACACUAACCGACCAGACUAUGAAGGGGUGCAAUUUUGGCCAGUUGCGAUCGACUUGCACGAUACCAAUUUUUUUUCCUUUGACAACGAAACGUCAUUCUAGUCACUUUCCGAGGGAGUCAGGUGGUGAAAGCCCAAUUCGGAAACUCAAUAGCGGAGUCAUGCGACGUGUUCGACAAGAGGAGGGAUCUUGAUGCUGCGUAAUGGCUUGCUGUACAACUUCAAUUGCUUUGUGAUGUUUUUCAACUCUAAAUCACCACAAAACACUGUAACUUUUAAAAGGAAUUCGGUUCCUGUUACAACCUGUGAGUCUGUGACCUGUCAUCAUAAUGGCAUAAGAUAUUUAUAACUUAAAUCGAAAUUCGGGUGAAAUUGCACUCGAUGACUCCAGAAAAUCAUAGUUGAAGAUUGCUAUCCAUGACGGCAGGAGUGCAACCCGAUGACUUGAGAAAUAUGACUUGAGUGCUAGCAAGCAGAAAGCCAGAGCAGCAACCAAAGCAGUAGGAAAAAAAAAAAAACAAUGUCGGUACAAGAUUUUCUUCUAGCAGCCCCUACACCAUUUACAUGGUCAUGGAGUAAAAUAUAUUUUAAGGAUGCAUUUGUUUCGCGAAAAAUAAAUUAAAAUAAAUCACUAAAAAAUUAUUUUUUCUAUUGUUUACAAAAAUAUAUAAUAAAAAUAUUUUCAUCAUACACGAAAAAAUGUUUAGACAUUAUGGGUCCGUUCGUUUCGUGAAAAACAACUUCUGGGAAAACAUUUUCUGGAAUUUCUGGUGUUUGGAUGAUGAAAAAUAGAUGGUCAAAGAAAAUAUUUUCCGGCCAAUGGAAAAUCUUCUUGUAAGAUUGUGGAAAAUGAUUUCCUUUUUUGAGAAGAGAAAAAAAAUUUCCAUAACUUCUUCCACCUUCUUUCUUUUCACCAACACAUUUAUGCUUUCUUUUUCUUUUUUGUUUUUUUUUAAAUCGAGUUUUUAAUUUUUCCUUUUCUUUUUUUCCAUUUCAUCUUCUUCCUUGGUGGCCGGCGACUAGCCACAAGCCAGCUCGAGCCUCGCCCUAGGCUAGCGAGGCUCCGCCUAGCUUGAUCUGGCGAAGCCGAGCUCGCCCGAACCCAGUGAGCUCUGGCCUCACCAGAUCGAGCGAGGCAAAGCACCGCCGGCCUGGGGCAGAGCUCGGGCCUAGCUAGAUCCGGCAAGCUGGGCGAGGCUUGGGCCUCGCCUGAGCUUGACAGAGGUUCGCUAGGCUCUGGCGAGCCACGAGCUCGCCGAAUUUGGCAGAGGAGAUCAAGCUCCCGAUCCAGGCGAGCCCGAGCUUUGCCGCCAAUUCGGGCAAGCUCGCGGCUCACCAGAGCCCGGCGAAACUCUGGUGAGAUCGGCCGAGCCUCGAGCUCGCUGGAUCUGGCGAUUGGGUCUUGGUCAGUCGCCAGACAGCCGACCAUCGUCAGGCAUGCGGCGAUGGAGGAAGGAGGCGGUGGCGGAGGAAGGAGAAGUCGGGAGGAAGAAGGAGGAAGGAAAAGAAAAGGAAAGAAAUAAUAAAAAAAACAAUUUUUUAAGAAUACAAAUAAUUAAAAACUCAUUUUUUAAAAAAAUAUAAAAAAAUAAAACUAAUUUUUUGGUCAAUUAGAAAUAUUAAAAUUCAAUUUUUGAUAAUUCUUCCCAAACAAUUAAAUUAACUAAUAACCGGUAGAAAAUAUUUUCCACUCGAAAUUUAGAUUAAGGCCAAACACUGGAAAAUAGAGUCAUUUUCCUGGAAAAUGACUUCUAGGAAAAUGUUUUCCAGAAAUAUAAUAUUUUUUGCGAAAUGAACGGACCCUAUAAUGAAAACAUUUUGUAUUGAAUAAUUAUUUCAAGCAAUACAAACGAUUUUUUUAGAAAAAUAUUUUCUAAAUUAUUCAUUUUAUAUUAAACAAAUGGAGCCUAAGUUUCUACUUUAUGAAUGAAAGGAAUAUAUUGACAUAUGGGCUUUCAAGAAAAGAAAUGUCUGGCAUUAGAAUCAUUUAAAAAUGGAUACUUUUUUUUUUAGAAGAGAAGUCCAAUUAACUCAACGAAUUAACAAUUUUUCUAACAAGGAUAUUAAAUGAGUCGCCCAACAUUGACAAUCAUAAUUCUUCAGGUAAAUAUGUGCCUAAUGUAAUAUACUUUUUAUUAACUUGUCACAUUUUAUAUCAUUGUCACGUCAUGUAACAACCACUAUAUGAUGUUUCAGAUCUAGCAGAGAGCACAUUAUUCUAGACCAGAGAAGGAUACAACAUCAAAAAAGGCCUUAUAGAGGAUAAUUUCACUGGAGUGAUCCCACUUGACACAAUAUCUUUCACAAACUAGACUCGACAAAGCUUAUUAGAUCCCCUGAAUCCGUCGAUUGAGAUCGAGCGGUAACGUACUAAUUAGGCACGGGGAGACUCGAUGGUUCACGGAAAGCGACUACUCCUUCUCACAGACCAAGGACUCGGGUGCAUCCGACGGACCUAAUAAAGACGGUCCUAAUACAGACCGGGCCAGAGCUCGACGACCUUCUUCCAAGAAGGCCUGCUCGAGAUGUCAUCCCACCACGCACUCACAUGCUUCCGGUCCCUUAUCAGGUACUCCUUCCCCAUUUUUCCCAUCAGGUACUGCGUUAACGAGAGGUGGCUCAGGUCGGCGAGGCUGAACAAAUCCCCCGCCAGGUACUUGCUCUUCGACAGCCUCUCCUCGUAGAUGUCUAGCACCUUACAGAGCUUGUCCUCGCUCUCUUUGAUCAGCUUCGGAUCCGGGGUAAGUCCCCUAAUCGGGUCAAAAACAAUUUUGUAGAUGAGGUCAGUGAUGGGCGGGCUGUAGCACUGGGCCUCGACUUCGAGCCACUGCUCGACGAGCCCCGUCUCCUCUAUCGUCUUUCCCAGCAGGUCGGUCCCUUGGUGCUUGUAUUUCUGGGCAUAAUACCUUGCGAUGGCCCGCGAUUCUGCAUGAACAAAAUAGGAUCCAUUACAGAGAGACAAAUCUUUACCCCCCCGCAUGAAAUUGACCAUAAUCUAGAACGCAACCUAAAAGAGACCAGCGCUAAGAUUUUGAAUUUACAAGCAGUCAGUCUCACAACGCUAGACCAACAGUAACAGUGCAGAAUCAGUGGGAUGUUUUUAUGACUAUGAAUUGAUCAUUCUGCCUCGACAUCGAUCAGGAAAGUAAUUGGACAAAAAUGCAGGUUCAAACAGAUAAUCGACGGCCUUCGGCCAACAUAGGAAACGGUAGUUUUCGAAGCUACUCUUUACUCUUCCUUGGAUACUCCCCAGAUAGCCAGCUGACGAGUCUGGCCUCUUUUCCUUAAACCUGAGCAAUCCUGACUGAUGGGGAAAAUACUCGAAAGACUCGCAUCUCACCGCUGAAACGCACGCCCAAUCCUUCCCAAUUCAGACUAUUUCGCCAUGGAGCUUUGAUUUAAAUCAUCCAUUGCCUAGGCAAAUGUUUCGACUUGAGAUUGAUCAGACUCUUAAAAAGUUCAAAUUAUAAAGACGACAACCUUAACUUUAACCUAACAAAUGCCGGAAGGUGCUGAGUUCCGAGCACAAAUCCUCCGCCCCUAAUGCAUUUUGAUUACACCAGCAUUUUUUUUCUUUUUUUUUUAGAGAGGAUAAAAGAACACUCGAAAGUUAUUGUCAAAGCACGCAAGUGAUUAAAGGAGUCGCAAAGCUAAAUCACCGGACGUCCAUGAGCUAAAACGAGCUGCUAAUAUCAACUGAAUAUUAUGUCGACAGAACUUGGGCUUCUCAACUUCCUGUGGUAUCUAUUCAUUGCAGAGCUUCUUAGACUUUAAACACCAAACCUUAACCCGACAAAUUACACAAGCGACAGCAUGCUGAAGAACCAUCCGUGCUUCCACAUGUUUCGGUCCAAGCGUCGGAGUGCGAUGUGAAAAUCCAAAAGUCGAGAGCAUUACCAAACAAAGUAUAGUCUCCAUCUUGAAUCACAGGAACCGAUCCGAAGGGCUGCAGGCACGCACACACAUGAUCCGAAUCAGAAACAUUCAGAUAAAGUACCUCAAUGCUAAGUACCCACAAAGAAAAUGUAAACUCCAGUUGGAUCCAAAGAGACGCGAGUUUCAAGAACAGAGACAGGCCUGGAGCUUGAGGAAUUCAGGGGAUCUGUUCUCGUCCUUGAAGAUAUCGAUGGGAACGGUCUCGAACUCGACGCCCUUCUCGAUCAGGCACACCAGCACUCGCUUCGGAUUUGCAUAAUCAGGCCCGUACACCUUCACCACCAUUUUUUCUCUCUUCUUCUCUCUUGUCGACGGACCAGUUGAUUUCCAAAUAUCUUUCAGGAUCGACUCUCCUUCUGCGUCUGGGUUUAUAAAGGAAGCUCUUAUCAGACGAUUAAACCAAGUCGCACACGAUACCGUCAUGCACCAACUUACUGUUCGCGACCAGAUUCCUUUGGAGAUCCAAGGUUAGAUAAUCGGUCAAUGUUGGUAUGCUACUAAUUACCUUCGUCGAAUUUGACUUCGCAUAUGCCUCGGAAGGGUUUGCAACAUUUCCUCUGACUUAUCUUUGAUAGAUUGUUCUCUGGCAAUGCGCACGCUAUCUGACAUAUUUGGACGGUAGACUUGAAAUUCAUUAUGCUCGCAUAAAUUUCCUCGGAGAAAAUGACAGUCUUUAAAACUUUAGCCUAAGUGCAACGUUGUCUUUGACUUUUAUUAAUUUAAUGAAUUCCUUGAAUUUUCUAAUGUUCAAUCUAAUCCUUAAAUCCUUCUGCAUUUUGCCAAUUAAAUUCAUCUAGCUGAUUUUAGCUAAAGAUCAUUGAACUAGACAUUAACUUUAUUUGGUAGUAUAAGUGACAUUGAUGUAAACAAUUUUUUAAUAAUUUUAAAUUUUUAAUAAUUUUUUUCUUUUUUCUUUUUUCUUUUUCUAAUCCUAGGUCGACAACCCUCACUUCAUCUAGGCUAGGGGCCCUCACCCAAAACCAGGUGAGGGAUGCCCUCGCCUUACCCAAGCCAAGCAAGGGUGUCACAGCCCUCGCCUAAAUCUAGGCAAAGGCCAACCCUCUCACUUGUGGUCUGCAACUCAAGUAACACUGAUACCAGUAUAUGACAUGCAACACGACAUAAGAUGACAUAAGAUAACAUGCGAUAUGACACAAUAUAACACGUCAACAUGUUUUUUCUAAAACAAUAGAGAAUUCCGAUACGUUAGGACGCAUUAUAUAUUAAAUAUAUAUUUUUAUAUAUACAUGAUAAAUUAUCAUUUUUAUGAUUAUUUUAAUAAAAUUAAUUUGAUUUAGAUUCACAAAUAAAUAAAUAAUAAAAAAGAGCAUAGAAUGAAUUUACACUAAAAACAUUAAUUUAUCAUUUGUUGAUAUGAUUCAUUGUUUCAAUUUAACAAAUCCAGCUAUAUUCCGUUCAAAUAAUCUUUAAAACUUGAAGGAAAAAAAUCAAUUCACAUUCCACUAUUAAAUUAACAUUUAACAAGAAGUCAAAAAAAAAAAAAAAAACAAUCCACAUUUCACCAUCAAAUAUAACAAUAAGUCUUUAUUUCUCCCUUUUAUUUUUUUUAUUUUUUAUUUUUUUUUACAUAUUUAUAUUUUGACUCCUCUUUUAGUGAAACUUUUCAAAAUUAACCUAAUGUGUGUCGAAAUCACAUGUUGAAAUUAUAAACUCACAUGUUGGAUCCUGUUGCGCUGGAUGUCGGAUUUUCUAACACCUGUUGACUACGUGUGGAAAUGUGUCGGAGCGUGUCAAAGUGUUUGACACAACACGAAAGAUCUUGGAAAAUGUCAAUGCUUCCUAGCCUGCAACUAGGGUUAGGAAAAAAAAUAAAGGAAAGGAAAAACAAACAAACAAAUAAAUAAAUAAUAUUUAAAUAUUAUUAAAAAUUGUGUAUGUUAGCGUUAGUCGUCGCCGGCCGUAUCACAUACAACAUCUAACAUCCACAUUAGUAAUUUCAUGUCAAAAUUGGUCGAAGGAACUCAAUUGGAAAAAGUCAAAGAUAUUUAAACUCAAUUAACAAAAUUAAAAAGUUUAUGACUAAAUUGGCAAAAUUACAAUAGAUUUAGAAAUUUUUGGAUAAUUUUUCCUCUUCCCUCGCAUGCAAUGCAGACUUAUCUCCUAGAAUGAGUGUUAACAGCUCAUCAAACACCAGUUCAGUGAGUGCUGGACAUGUGAACGAACAUUUAUGAAGUUGCUCUUUCCAAGUUGUAAAAGAUCCAUAAAAGUUGGUUAGUAGGUGGUUAAAUUUUAAUUUCACCAAAGUCACUGGCAUAGUACUAAUUAGCCGCGUACAUAGCCCGACAAAACACGACACCGCCAGGAAUAAUACAACACCAAAGAGGUCCACGACGCAAACAGCCCUAGUAAAUUAGGAACAUCUGCAUGCUAAAGAACCAUCCGUCUGUCCCCGUGCUCUGAUCUCAAGACCGCAAGAAAACAGCAAUAGAAAGAAAAGAACGAUGCAAGAAGCCAAGAGUCGAGAGCAUUACCGAACAGAGUGUAGUCGCCAUCUUGAACCACAGGAAGCGAUCCGAAGGGCUAGACAGGCGCGCCCGCACGAGAUCCGAAUCAGCGUCAAUAAGACAAGACACACUUCAAAUGCCAAGUACCCACGAAAGGAGACACGAUGAAAAGUCAAGCUGUCGAGAGUUUGACCGAAAGUGAAGUCGGACUUUCAAGAACGAACGGGACAGACCUGGAGCUUGAGGUACUCGGGGGCUUUGUGCUCGCCUUUGAAGAGGUCGACGCCGACGGUCUCGAACUCGACGCCCUUCUCGAUCAGGCACACCAGCGCCCGCUUCGGCGACGCAUAGUCAGGCCCGUACACCUUCACCACCAUCUUCACUCUCGCUCCCUCACACUCUCUUUCACUCUCUCUCUCUCUCUCUCUCUCUCUCUCUCUGCUUCUUUCUUCCUUCUUGACGGACCUAGUCAGCGACUCUCUCCGCUCUGUCUCCCGCGUUUUAUAAAGAAGUCUCUUUGUUAGAGCAGCAGACAGAAGCUGCACACGUCAAUGAUGCACCAACCCACCACCAAUCCAAGGUUAGUUAAUUGGUCCCAUCACUAAAGAGUUUCGCAUUUUGCAUUUGCUUCCAUGAGUUUGAAUCCCUCUGCAAGUUAAGACUUAUCUGGAAAUAUUGCGACUCUUUGGCUGUGCAUGCUAUCUGGGUAAAGUUGGGAUGGCAAGUAGGGCCUCCUUUGGUUAUUGAUAGAUUUUUUUAUAUUUAUGAUAUAAAAAUCAUUUUUGUCUAAUAAUAAAUUUCUUCGAAUUUAAAUAAUUAAAUAUAAACAAUAUAUGAGUUCUAAUAUUAAAAGGGAAAUUCAAAAUAACAAUGAUUUUCAUUUUAUUUUUAUUUAUAUAUUUGAAUUUAUUUUCUAUAUAUACAUACUUAAAAUUUAUAUCUAUAGCAUAUUUUAGGUAUUUUGGUAUAGUUAAUUUAUUAAGAAAUGAUGGAAAGGAAUAAAAAAAGAAACAAAAAAAGAGAGUGAAAAUAAUAUAAAAAUAAGUAAAUAAAAUUGAAGUAGGCGAGAGAGUCUAAACACUAAUUCAGAUUCGCAAAGCUAAAUGAUAAUGUUUUCUUUCUCUUAACAGAUUUGAUACGCAUUGACUAAUUUUCCUAUUGAUAUUGUUGUAGCUCAUUUACAUUUGUCUUCAUAGUCGAACCCAUGACUCUAAAAUGCUACAAUGAGCUCAUUUGCUGUUUAAGAUUUGGAUUGUAAAAUAAUUAUGGAUUUAUUUAUGGAUGUUAUCUCCAUUUUGUCCUUUUAUGGUUUCUUUAGCAAUUAAACUGUAAAUUAUUCUUAACAUCUCCCUUUGUACAUUUUCAUGUACAUUUACAUUGAUAUACUAUUUAUAUCAAACAAUAGAUGUGAAAAUAUUCGAUUUUAUUACUAUAAUUUACCACAUAAUAGACAAGAUUUUGGUAAUUUCAUAUCCUACCAUAUCAUAUUAUAUUAAGUCAUAUUUUAACUAGAAAUCCAAAUGAACAAAGGCAGCCUAAAAUUGUUAAAAUCCGUCAUGCUCCAUGGGACAUUUGUAAUCUUGAAAGGAUAUGUCUUUUGUCGAUUUCUUUUGUACUAAAUUGAUGUCGCACCUAUGCUCUACACCUUUGAUUAGUUUUGGCCGAAAGUUUUCAAUAAUCGUCACCAGAAAUGGCAAAAAGCACUGUGCUCAUUUUUUCACAUGGCCUGCCUGCUUCUAGAAAGGCAAUUACCAAUUUGCUCAAAUUAGGUAGUAGGUGACGGUUCAAAUUGGCCUAUGUCCACAAGCCAUAGAUUCUAAUAAUUGGUCUUCUUUUUAAUCUAAAUUAUUCGAGGGAGUAGGAAGAUUUGGCCAAUCAAAAAUGCACACUUGAGCUGUCCUUGCAUCAUUUACAAAAUGGUUUUCUUUGUCGACUUCCUUUGUACCUGCAAUUGAGUAAACUAUUGAUCACCUAACCUCCACAAGAGAACGAGGAAGAAAGGGGUAAUCGACUAUUAUAUGUACAACGCCAUUAUUCACCCAAAUCAAUCAUUGCAUGUGGGAAUAUAAGACACCUCAUAACAUUUUCCAUGUGACAACGGAAUUAGAAGAGCAAAAAGCAUCAUUGCUCGGACGAAAUACUGCUAUGGGAAAGACUAUCAGUUCGAGUGUUAGAUGGGAGGCGUUUUUAGGAAGGAUCAUUUAUGUGAGGAAACUUAUACUGGCAACAAGGGAGAUAUAAAGAGGUGGAAGGAUGCACUAAGUAAAGUAGCUAGUCUUGCUAGAAGAGAAUUGAAAGAUGGGUAGGCCUCUCUUCCACUAACUUGGAAUUAUUUGUUUUCUUUAAGUUUAGUGUGCCAUGAAUGUCAUGACUAUCAUACUCUGUAUUAUGUUAGUUCAUCUAAACCAGAAUAUAUGAUUAACUCCUCCAAAACUACACUGCCUCAAUGCUACCUAGGGAACUAAUCAUCUGGAUUUCUUCAUUGUAGAUAUGAGACACAGUUCAUUUGGCAAAUCAUUGGAGAAAUCAAAGAUAAAUUGGGUCCCCGACUAUCCUAUGUUGUAGGUGUUAGGAAAAUUCCUUAUGAUAUUUUGAAAAUAACAAAAUAAAUCAAAGGCUACUAACGUGUUUAAUGGUUAAGUAACAGACUAUGCAGAUGAUAGAAUGUAUAAAGAAUAUUAUCAAAGUCUAUACUUGGAAGAACUAGAAGAUAGACUUUAUGCUGAAACUGAAUUUAUUCAAACUGUGUCUAGACCUUAAGUCUAAAUCUGUUCAAAAGCAGAUUAUGUUCAGACUUACGUCCAGAUUAUAAAGUCUAUCUCAGACUUUACUUCAAACUAAAGACACUCAGACUCUACUUCAAAUAGAAUAUUCCCGAACUUUACAUCCAGAACGAGACACAAGUUUAGAACGUAGCAGAUUCAUAAUGAAGCAUGUUCAGAAUGAGACAACUUGAUAGAACGUAACACGAGCCCCAAACAUAUAACGGCUAGUAAUCUGGUUUGGAUUCUACAUCAAGAUAGAUUUGAUUGACAAAUUGGAUAUUAAAAACAAGAACUUUCUAUACGAAGAAGCUAUACUUAUGAAAACCAAGAUUCUGCUUGUAUGGGCGAUCGGAAUCAAUUUGGGAUUCUACUUCUAUCACUCAACGGCUAUUAAAUCUUCUAAAUAUAGAUAUGUCCAAUGGGUAGAUCGGAAGACGAUCCUCUAAAUACUGUCCAAUUACUAGUUUGAAAGUGGAGGAGUAUUUAAGGAGAUCAAUGACCGAUAAACAAAUAAGAGACGAAGCGUAGAAAUUUAUAAUUUCAAAGUAUGAGCAAUCUUCAAUCAUACGCUUGUCUUUGGUAAGCUUAAACAUUUGUGAUCGUGAGAGAAAUAUCAAAAGAGUGACUUAGUGAGAUAGUGUGCUCUACCACUAAAUGUUUGCACUCAAAGUUGUAAUCUCUUGUUGAUCAUAUAGUGGAAUCCAGCCAGAAGGCUGUCAGCGUGGAAGAGUGGAUGUAAGCUUGAUCUAAGCCGAAUCACUAUAAAUUCUAUGUUUUUAUUCUCUUUCCUGAACUCCUUUAUUUUGUUCGUAGUUCUAUUUAACUAUUAAAGUUUGAACUCGCUCAAAGUCUGUUGUUCUUCAGACUCAGUUUCAAAAGCAAAAUAUUUGUAUUACUUUUUGCAAAAAAUUUUCUUCACACCUAUUCAACCCCCCUCUAGGUGUUCAUACUAGCACUUUCAGUAGGCAAUCUUGUGGGAAUGCAUUCCCGGGUUGCAAAUGUAGUUGAAUAUUUAUCCUUGGACGAGAGUGAUGUACACAGUAUUGGCAUAUGGGGAAUGGGUGGCAUAAGCAUAACAACUGUUGCACAAGCAAUUUUUGACAAAAUCCGUGGCCGAUUUGAUGAUGGAAGUUUCUUGCCAAUGUCAAAGAAAUUUCAAAAAAGAAUGGUUUGGUAUAUUUGCAAAACCAGUUUCUCAGUGAUAUUCUCCAAGAGGACAAUUUGACAAUCAUGGAUGAUCACAGAGGAACAAACAUGAUAAGAGAACAACUGUGACAUAAAAAAGUUCUUGUUAUACUUGAUGAUGUGGACGAAAAGGAGCAGCUGGAAAAACUAGCAAGAGGUCUUGAAUGGUUUGGACAUGGGAGUAGGAUCAUUAAAACAACUAGAGAUGAACAUUUGCUUCUCCAAUAUGAUGUAAAUUCCAUAUAUAGGGUGGAGGGACUAUCCUUUUAUCAGGCUCGCCAACUAUUUUGUUCAAAAGCUUUUAGAAGUGACCAUCCUCCAAUAGAGUUCGAGGAGCUCACAAAGCAGGUUAUUGAAUAUGCUAGUGGUCUUCCUCUAGUCCUUGAUGUCUUAGGUUCCUUUUUGGCUUAUAGGAGCUUGAAGCAAUGGAAGAGUGCACUAGCCAAACUCAAGAAAUGUCUAGAAGGGAAAAUCUUUUACCAGCUUAAGUUAAGUUAUGAUGGACUACAGCAGAAAGAGAAGGAGAUUUUCCUAGAUAUUGCAUGUUUUUUCAAGGGAAAGGAGAAACCUUAUGUUACAAAAGUUUUGGACAAUUGCGGUUUGUACGUAGAUAUUGGAAUCAAAGUCCUUGUCAAUAGAGCUCUCAUCCAAAUCGUGGGCAACAAACUGUGGAUGCAUGAUUUGCUACAAAAUAUGGCUUGGGAAAUUGUUCGUCGAGAGUCUCCUAAAGAGCUAGGAGAACAAAGUCGAGUCUGGCUUUUUGAGGAUGUAUGCCAUAUUUUGUCAAAAAACUCGGUGAGUAUCUGCAAAAUUAAUUUGCAAGCAUGCCUAUUUGAUAGAGUUUAAAAAGAACUUGCUAGUCAUAUAUUGACACUAUAUGAGUUGUUUAUCAAGGAACUGGAAAAGUCAAAGCCAUAGUCUUGCAAUAUGGGGACCAUAGAACAAUGCGCUUGAGUGGAGAGUCCUUCACCAACAUGACUAAAUUAAGAUUGCUUGAUAUUCGGGCCAUCCACCUCUCUUAUGGGUUCAAGCACCUUUCAAAUGAACUAUGCCUACUAAGAUGGGACAACUGCAGUCUUAAAUCAUUUCCACCAAGUUUUCUUCCAAAGAAUCUUGUCGAACUCCAUAUGCAGGAUAGCCUCCUUUGCAACAACUGGAGAGGGGAAAAUGUUGGAAUUAGUACUAAUGCAUGUUAACCUCAAUGGUUCCAAAUUAUUUGUGGAGACUCCAAACUUCAUAUAUGUCCCAAAUCUAGAGAGGCUAAUUCUCAAAGGUUGCAAAGCAUUAUCUAAAGUUCAUCCUUCAAUUAGAAAUCUAGAAAGACUCAGUCUACUUGAGGUGAUUGUGAAAAUAUCAUGGGACUUCCAAAUAGUCUAGGUAAUCUAAAAUCUCUCAGAGUUCUUAAUCUAUGUAGAUGUUCAAAUCUUGAAGAACUGCCUGAUAGCAUUGGGGGCUUAGAGUGCUUAGAGGAGCUUGAUAUUAGUGAAAGUGCCAUGACACGCCUCCCAUCCAGCUUGGUGUUCUUACAAAAUCUGAAAAAAUUAUGCUUUCAUGUUAAUAAAAGGAGGCCACAAAAUUGUUGGAGGACACUGACCAAACGCUGAGAAGAGCUCUGAACUCUAGAAGUCCGAGGUUGCCUUCAUUUUCAAGGCUAUCCUCUUUAAUAGAGUUGGAUUCGAGUGGCUGUAGACUUCUGGAAGGAGAAAUUCCCAGUGAUAUUGACUGCUUACCCUCCUUGAUGUCUUUAGAUCUAACUGAAAACAGUUUUACCACCAUACCUGCAAGCAUCAAACAUAUCUUUGGCUUGAAAUAGCUUUGUAGCAUUUUCUCUGGCCCAUCUUUGACAUAUUAUAUACUCUUGCAGCGUGCAUAAUGUUGGAUAUAGUUGGACAGUAGAAUCAUAAAAAUUUCAUUAUGCUCGCAUAAUUUACAUAUUUCUAAUUAUCAUUUUUUUGUGGGCCAUUUGAAAUUUAAAAGGCCUAUCUUUCGUCAAUUUUUUCUUCACUGGAUGAUGUCGAACCUAUGCUCAAUAGUCAAUUUACAUUGACUUCACUAGAUGAAUGUCAAACCUAUGCUCAAUAGUCAAUUUACGUUACUUGUUUUGGCCGAAAAGUUUCCAACAAUCCUCAGUAGAAACGGCAAAAGCAUUUUGCUCGUCCAUGUUGAUAUUGCCCGAUUGCCUGCCUGCUUCUAGAAAAGCAAUUACAAAUUUGCUCAAAUUGGGAAUUGGGGAUACUAAUCGGUCUUUUUCCACAAUUUCUUUAAAGUUUAGGAAGAAUGUUCAAGUGUCGAUAUUCAUGAGACAAUAUGAACUUUUCUCGUAUGCUUCAGCUAAUCUUUUUGGGGAUGAUCUCAUCGUGUGAUGCUACUCUGUUUUCUGCAGCAGUUUUGGCUUUUCUUCUGGUGCAAAAGAGUCGGCAAACCUCCGUCUUCUUCAUGCCAACAAGACGCGCCCACAUCUAAUAUAUAAAACUUGAUGCGGUCGGUAUCCAUGUUUAUAAAGAGUUCAUUUAUCUCUUAGAAUGAGUCUUAACAGCUGAUCUAACACCAAUUCAGUGAGUACUGGACAUAUAAAUGAAAGUCUAUGAAGUUGCUCCUUUCAAGUUGUAAAAGAUCCUCAAAAGUUGAUAAGUAGGUGAUUAAUUUUUAAUUUCACCAAAGUCGCUCGCAUAGUACUAAUCAGCUGCGUACAUAGCCCUUUCAUUUAUCUCUUAGAAUGAGUCUUAACAGCUGAUCUAACACCAAUUCAGUGAGUACUGGACAUAUAAAUGAAAGUCUAUGAAGUUGCUCCUUUCAAGUUGUAAAAGAUCCUCAAAAGUUGAUAAGUAGGUGAUUAAUUUUUAAUUUCACCAAAGUCGCUCGCAUAGUACUAAUCAGCUGCGUACAUAGCCCGACAACACGCAACACUGUCAUGAAUAAAACAACAAGAAGGAGGUCCACGACACGAUCGGUCAAACCAGAUUCAACAAAGCUUAUUUGAUCACCCAGAUCGAGUAGAAACAUACUUAGUAGUCACAGAAAGACUCGCUAUCCUUCGCAUAGAACAAGGACUCGGGUGCACUCGGCAUAACUGAUAAAACAGUCCUAAUACAGACCGGGCCAGAGCUCAAGGACCUUCUUCCAAGAAGGCCUGCUCGAGAUAUCAUCCCACCAACCGCUCACAUGCUUUCGGUCCCUUAUCAGGUACUCCUUCCCCAUCUUGCCCACCAAGUACUGGGUGAAUGGAAGGUGGCUCAGGUCGGCAAGGCUGAAGAAAUCCCCUGCCAGGUACUUGCUCUUUGACAGCCUCUCCUCGUAGAUAUCCAGAACCUGACAGAGCUUGUCCUCGCUCUCUUUGAGCUGCUUCGGAUCCGGGGUAAGCCCAAUGAACGGGCCGUAAACAAUUUUGAGGACAAGGUCGUAGAUUGGCGGAUGGAAGUUGUGGGCCUCGACUUCGAGCCACUGCUCAACGAGCCCCCUCUCCUCGAUUGUCUUCCCCAGCAGUUCAGUCCGUUGGUCCUUGUAUUUCUCGGCAUAAUACCU
rnacentral:lncRNA from 1 species